rfam:Canis lupus familiaris chromosome 26, whole genome shotgun sequence.
GGGGUGAGGCCGGAUCCUGGGCUGUGUACUGGCGCCCUGUGCUCCGGAGUCUGUGCUGUUGGAUUCGCGCUCCUGCCCCGCAGCCCCCC